AUGCCCGCCGCCGGUGUAACGCGCGGGGCCGGCUAUAUAUGCACGCAAUACACAGCCUGGACCCGGCCGGCCGCGUGUCGGCUCUCCACUAGCAGCCGCUGCAGCUCCACCAUGGAGGCCGCGGGGCCUGCGAAGCCGGACCACCACCCCGCAGCCGCAGCCAAGGAGGGGGCCGGCUGCCCGCGGCGGUCUGCGCCGUGGUCGUCGUGGCUGUCCGCCGCGGCCGCGGGGCUCGUCGCGGUGGGGCUCGGUGGCGCGGCGCUGCUGGUGUGGUGGGCGCUGGCGUUCCACCCGGCGAACGCGCGGCUCUGGAUGGUGCCCGCGGGGCUCGUCCUCCUCGGCACGCCCGUCCUGGCCUGGCUCUCCCUCCUCGGCUCCGGCCCGUGCGGCCGCCAGGCCGCGCCACCGCCCGAUGCUGGCGUGUACGCGUCAGCUUAGCUUGCUGCUGCCUGCCCGUACUGCUUUUUUCGUGUGUGUGCGCGCGCGCGAUCGAUGUUCAAUUCAUGCCCAGCUACUUCGGCGCUUGCUUGUACAUACAUGUUUCAUCAGAGCACCGCCCGUAGUUUAGUUUCGUUAUUGCUUCUUCACAAUUUUGUAAUCGGAUGAACAUAUAUACACCCUAUGCUUACAUGUACAUGCAUGUUUCCUUCCGCUGGUUAAUCUCUUCGGUACUUGGAUCUUAUAAAGAAAAAUAUAAAUAUGCGUUCUU